UCUGGUUGAUCCUGCCAGUAGUCAUAUGCUUGUCUUAAAGAUUAAGCCAUGCAUGUCUAAGUAUAAACACUUGUACUUGUGAAACUGCGAAUGGCUCAUUAAAUCAGUUAUAAUUUAUUUGAUGGUCUCUUUACUACUUGGAUAACCGUGGUAAAUCUAGAGCUAAUACAUGCAUAAAAUCCUGACUAGUGCGCUUUAGUACUGGGAGGGAUGUAUUUAUUAGAUUCAAAAGCCAAUGCCAUCUUCUUCGGGGGGUGGAAAUUCUUUCAAUGGUGAUUCAUGAUAACUUUACGAAUCGCACGGCCUUUUGUGCUGGCGAUAGUUCAUUCAAAUAUCUGCCCUAUCAACUUUCGAUGGUAGUAUAGAGGACUACCAUGGUGGUAACGGGUAACGGAGAAUCAGGGUUUGAUUCCGGAGAAGGAGCCUGAGAAACGGCUACUACUUCCAAGGAAGGCAGCAGGCGCGCAAAUUACCCAAUCCCGACACGGGGAGGUAGUGACAAAAAAUAACAAUACCGGUCUCUAAUGAGUCUGGUAAUUGGAAUGAGUACAAUCUAAACCUUUUAACGAGUAUCAAUUGGAGGGCAAGUCUGGUGCCAGCAGCCGCGGUAAUUCCAGCUCCAAUAGCAUAUAUUAAAGUAGUUGCAGUUAAAAAGCUCGUAGUUGGAUUUUGAAGUUAACAUAUCGCGACCCGCCUUUUUAGGGUGUGUUUGUUGUGGUAUGUUCUUCUCCUUACCAGAUUUUCACUAUUGCGCUUAAUUGAGUGAUAGUUUUGCUUCGAUUCGUCGGGGUGAGUGAUGGGCGGACCUAUUGGGUUAGGAUUGUGGAUGAGGCGCUUCUUCGGAGGAGUCUUGUUCUGCCUGAUUCAGUAACCGUUCAUUAGAAUUCUAGUUCCUUUACUUUGAGUAAAUUAGAGUGUUCAAGGCGAGCAAAAUUACUUUUUCUGCAAUGAAUACUAUUAGCAUGGGAUAAUGGAACAGGACACGUAUUCUAGUUUUUCGUUGGUUUCUAGAAUUUUUAUUAUUAGUGUAAUGAUUAAAAGGGACAGUUGGGGGCAUUCGUAUUUCAUUGUCAGAGGUGAAAUUCUUGGAUUUAUGAAAGACGAACUUCUGCGAAAGCAUUUGUCAAAGAUGUUUUCAUUAAUCAAGAACGAAAGUUAGGGGAUCGAAGACGAUCAGAUACCGUCGUAGUCUUAACCAUAAACUAUGCCGACCAGGGAUUGGAAGACGU
rnacentral:rRNA from 1 species